rnacentral:rRNA from 1 species
AUUGAACGCUGGCGGCAUGCUUUACACAUGCAAGUCGAACGGCAGCGCGGGCUUCGGCCUGGCGGCGAGUGGCGAACGGGUGAGUAAUACAUCGGAACGUGCCCAGUAGUGGGGGAUAGCUCGGCGAAAGCCGGAUUAAUACCGCAUACGACCUGAGGGUGAAAGCGGGGGAUCUUCGGACCUCGCGCUAUUGGAGCGGCCGAUGGCAGAUUAGCUAGUUGGUGGGGUAAAGGCCUACCAAGGCGACGAUCUGUAGCUUGUCUGAGAGGACGACCAGCCACACUGGGACUGAGACACGGCCCAGACUCCUACGGGAGGCAGCAGUGGGGAAUUUUGGACAAUGGGCGAAAGCCUGAUCCAGCAAUGCCGCGUGUGUGAUGAAGGCCUUCGGGUUGUAAAGCACUUUUGGCGGGAACGAAAAGGACUGUGCCAAGACCACGGUUCGAUGACGGUACCCGCAGAAUAAGCACCGGCUAACUACGU